AGCAGCCGCGGUAAUUCCAGCUCCAAUAGCGUAUAUUAAAGUUGUUGCAGUUAAAAAGCUCGUAGUUGAAUUUCGGGAUCAGUUGGUCGGUCGUGCCUCGGUACGUACUGGUCAAAUUGAUUCCUACCUUCUGACGAACCACGAUGUCAUUAAUUUGGUGUCGCGGGAAAUCAGGACUGUUACUUUGAAAAAUUAGAGUGUUUAAAGCAGGCUCGCGCUUGAAUACAUUAGCAUGGAAUAAUGAAAUAGGACGUUUGAUUCUAUUUUGUUGGUUUCUAGGAUCGACGUAAUGAUUAAUAGGGAUAGUUGGGGGCAUUAGUAUUCAAUUGUCAGAGGUGAAAUUCUUGGAUUUAUUGAAGACUAACUACUGCGAAAGCAUUUGCCAAGGAUGUUUUCAUUAAUCAAGAACGAAGGUUAGGGGAUCGAAGACGAUCAGAUACCGUCGUAGUCUUAACCAUAAACUAUGCCGACUAGGGAUCGGAUGAUGUUAAUUUUUAAUGUACUCAUUCGGCGCCUUACG
rnacentral:rRNA from 1 species